CUCUCUCACGUACGUCUCUCUCACUCUCGAGAUUUCUUCAUCUUCCUCCCCAAGUCCUAGCCAUCUUCUUCUUCCUCAAGACUUGGGGUGGGCUAGGGUUUGAAUCCGAGGAGGAAGAAUGGGUGUGAAAGAAGAGCUUAGGGAUGGAUUUUUGCUUAAGGGAGAUGACAAUGAAGGUUCCCCGUUGAAGUGGCUAGCUUAAGAGUGAACUUUAGAUUGGAUGCUUGCUUUUGGAGCUUAGCUCAAGGAUCUGGACUUGUGGCUAGUUGAGAGCGUGGCAUAGAACUUGUAAGCCCCGAGAAAUGUUCAUGUCAUAGUUUGUGUAGAUUGGACUUGAAUUGUCUUGUAGUUAGUUGUGAUUUGAAUAAAGGAAUAUUGUACUGGAAGUUGUAAAUAGAAACUUUUGUAGCCUGUGCGUUUGGGCUUAGUUGUGACCCAAGCGUGGCAUGACACCCCUUAGUUUGGUUUUUGAGUUCGCUUCCGCAAUUGAAAUCCUUUAGAAAUCUAUAUUAUAUCUAUAUUUUCUCCA